rnacentral:rRNA from 1 species
UAAUACGUAGGUGGCAAGCGUUGUCCGGAAUUAUUGGGCGUAAAGCGCGCGCAGGUGGGAUAUUAAGUCUGGUGUUAAAGUUCGGGGCUCAACCCCGUGAAGCAUUUGGAAACUGAUAUUCUUGAGUGCAGGAGAGGAAAGUGGAAUUCCUAGUGUAGCGGUGAAGUGCGUAGAUAUUAGGAGGAACACCAGUGGCGAAGGCGACUUUCUGGACUGUGUCUGACACUGAGGCGCGAAAGCCAGGGUAGUGAACGGGAUUAGAUACCCCGGUAAUCCUGGCCGUAAACGAUGGGUACUAGGUGUUGGGGGUAUCGACCCCUCCAGUGCCGGAGUUAACGCGAUAAGUACCCCGCCUGGGGAGUACGGCCGCAAGGUUGAAACUCAAGGAAUUGACGGGGGCCCGCACAAGCGGUGGAGUAUGUGGUUUAAUUCGACGCAACGCGAAGAACCUUACCAGGACUUGACAUCGUAUGAUGGUCCUAGAGAUAGGAAGUUCUCCUUCGGGAGACAUAUAGACGGGUGGUGCAUGGCU